UUACUAUGAUGAGCUUCUACUUCAGGUCCGUGUUUUUGACAUUUUGUGAUACUAAUGAAGUUCUGAGUUC